rnacentral:rRNA from 1 species
CGGAGCAUGCGGAUUAAUUCGAUGCAACGCGAAGAACCUUACCAAGGCUUGACAUACACCGGUAACGCCCAGAGAUGGGUGCCCCUUUGUGGUCGGUGUACAGGUGGUGCAUGGUUGUCGUCAGCUCGUGUCGUGAGAUGUUGGGUUAAGUCCCGCAACGAGCGCAACCCUCGUCCUAUGUUGCCAGCGGGUCAUGCCGGGGACUCAUGGGAGACUGCCGGGGUCAACUCGGAGGAAGUGGGGAUGACGUCAAAUCAUCAUGCCCCUUAUGUCUUGGGCUUCACGCAUGCUACAAUGGCCGGUACAAAGGGCUGCGAUACCGCGAGGUGGAGCGAAUCCCAGAAAGCCGGUCUCAGUUCGGAUUGGGGUCUGCAACUCGACCCCAUGAAGUCGGAGUCGCUAGUAAUCGCAGAUCAGCAACGCUGCGGUGAAUACGUUCCCGGGCCUU